rnacentral:rRNA from 1 species
CCUAUGGGUGGCAGCAGUGAGGAAUAUUGGUCAAUGGUCGGGAGACUGAACCAGCCAAGCCGCGUGAGGGAUGAAGGUACAGAGUAUCGUAAACCUCUUUUGUCAGGGAACAAAGGCGGGGACGUGUCCCCGGAUGAGUGUACCUGAACAAAAAGCAUCGGCUAACUCCGUGCCAGCACCCGCGGUAAUACGGGGGAUGCGAGCGUUAUCCGGAUUUAUUGGGUUUAGGGGGUACGCAGGCGGUCUGUUAAGUCAGCGGUCAAAGCCCGGGGCUCAACCCGGACCCGCAGUUGAAACUGGCAGUCUCGAGUUGGAGAGAAGUAUGCGGAAUGCGCGGUGUAGCGGUGAAAUGCAUAGAUAUCGCGCAGAACACCGAUUGCGAAGGCAGCAUGCCGGCUCCACACUGACGCUGAGGCACGAAAGCGUGGGUAUCGAACAGGAUUAGAUACCCCAGUAGUC